rnacentral:rRNA from 1 species
AAGUCGAACGGGGGGUUUGAUGUAGUAAUACAUCUGGCCUCUAGUGGCGGACGGGUGAGUAUCACGUGAGCAACGCGCCCGGAAGAGCGGAAUAACCCAGGGAAACUUGGAUUAAUGCCGCAUGUGACCUGGUGGGACAUCCCACUUCGGUUAAAGGUGGGGAUCGUAAGACCUGCCGCUUCCGGAUCGGCUCGCGGCCUAUCAGCUUGUUGGUGAGGUAACGGCUCACCAAGGCUACGACGGGUACCUGGUUUUAGAGAACGAUCAGGCACACUGGGACUGAGACACGGCCCAGACACCUACGGGUGGCAGCAGUCGAGGAUCAUGCACAAUGGGGGAAACCCUGAUGCUGCGACGCCGCGUGGAGGAUGAAGGUCUUCGGAUUGUAAACUCCUGUCAUCAAUGAGUAUGCUUCAGCCGGUGAAUAUCCGGCUGGGGUGACAGUAAUUGAAGAGGAAGGGACGGCUAACUUCGUGCCAGCAGCCGCGGUAAUACGAAGGUCCCAAGCGUUAUUCGGAAUCACUGGGCGUAAAGGGUGCGUAGGUGUGAGGAAAGUCAGAUGUGAAAGCCCUGGGCUCAACCUAGGAACUGCAUCCGAUACUCCCUCACUAGAGGAUUGGAGAGGAGUCUGGAAUUCACGGUGUAGCAGUGAAAUGCGUAGAUAUCGUGAGGAACACUCGUGGCGAAACGAGACUCUGGACAAUUCCUGACACUGAUGCACGAAGGCCGGGGGAGCGAACAGGAUUAGAUACCCUGGUAGUCCCGGCAGUAAACGGUGCACGUUUGGUAUGGGGGGGCUGGACCCCCUCCGUGCCGGAGCUAACGCGUUAAACGUGCCGCCUGGGAAGUACGGUCGCAAGAUUAAAACUCAAAGAAAUUGACGGGGACCCGCACAAGCGGUGGAGUAUGUGGCUUAAUUCGAUGCAACGCGAAGAACCUUACCUGGGCUUGACAUGCAAUUGCAAGCCGGCCGAAAGGCUGGCCGCCUUCGAGGGUAUUGCACAGGUGCUGCAUGGCUGUCGUCAGCUCGUGUCGUGAGAUGUUGGGUUAAGUCCCGCAACGAGCGCAACCCCUGUGAUUAGUUGCCACACGUAAUGGUGGGAACUCUAAUCAGACUGCCCAGAUCAACUGGGAGGAAGGUGGGUAUGACGUCAAGUCCGUAUGGCCUUUAUGCCCAGGGCUGCACACGUACUACAAUGCCCAGCCUAAUGAGAACCGAGACCGCGAGGUGGAGGAAAUCUAUAAAACUGGGCCCAGUUCGGAUCGCAGGCUGCAACUCGCCUGCGUGAAGCCGGAAUCGCUAGUAACGGCGCAUCAGCUACGGCGCCGUGAAUACGUUCCCGGGUCUUGUACACACCGCCCGUCACAUCAUGGAAGCCGGUCGCACCCGAAGUGCGUGCCCUAACCGUAAGGAAGGAGCGCCCUAAGGUGAGACUGGUAACUGGGAUGAAGUCGGAACAAGGUA